ACGUAGGGUGCAAGCGUUAAUCGGAAUUACUGGGCGUAAAGCGUGCGCAGGCGGUUAUGUAAGACAGAGGUGAAAUCCCCGGGCUCAACCUGGGAACUGCCUUUGUGACUGCAUAGCUAGAGUACGGUAGGGGGGGAUGGAAUUCCGCGUGUAGCAGUGAAAUGCGUAGAUAUGCGGAGGAACACCGAUGGCGAAGGCAAUCCCCUGGACCUGUACUGACGCUCAUGCACGAAAGCGUGGGGAGCAAACAGGAUUAGAUACCCUGGUAGUCCACGCCCUAAACGAUGUCAACUGGUUGUUGGGUCUUCACUGACUCAGUAACGAAGCUAACGCGUGAAGUUGACCGCCUGGGGAGUGCGGCCGCAAGGUUG
rnacentral:rRNA from 1 species